GAGCUCAUGGCAGAGUAUGUGAGGGUGACCUCAUGGUAACCUAGCUUUGAACCAGCUUAGCCGCAAUUAGUAAUGUCAAUGUUUAUCAAAUAUAUAUCUAAUAAUCUUUACCAACUCCCACCAUGUGAUCUUCAUCUUCACACACAGCACUUUCAAAGGUUUGACCGGAUUCUGUCAUUAGAUUUAAUAUCCAGGGGGCCAAUCAGUUAACAAAUGCAUGGAACAGAUCUUCAUCUUUGCCAUAGUUUCUCUUAAAAGUCUAGAUCUCCAGCAACUCCAUGCAGCUGCAGCUUCUGAAGCUUUGACUAAAUUAUUAAACUGUACAUCUUUUUGAUACCACGUCCUCUUCCUAUAUAUAGUGAACACGGCGGGAUGUAUGAUGCUCAGCCCUCUUAAUCUCUCUUUAAAAGUAUUGUUCCUUAUUCCACUGUUUUCUGCAUAUUGCCUGCAACCCUUACUGACAUUUACAGAAUUGGCAAUUAAUAUGAGGUAUGUGUUUCUUCUCUUCUCUUUUUCUUCUUCUUUAAUUUGCCAGUUAAUUGCAAGUUUGUUUCUUCUUAAUUUGGUGAUAUAUAUAGUCUUGUUUUCAGAUAUAUUACUUGCAUUUAGAUGUUUGCAAUGAGCUUGAGCUGAUUUUAUAUCCGAGUGAUUCUUGAACAUCAACUGUUCAUGUUGAAGCUAAACAUUUUGAGGUGUGAUUAAUGUCUGUUCGUUGUGCCUGAUUGGAUAUUUUUGAAAAUUGUUGUUCUAGACAAAGACUAUAUUUGGAACUAAAGUU
rnacentral:lncRNA from 1 species